rnacentral:tRNA from 1 species
AGCACCUUGCACAUUGGCAGCAGCCGACUCAUAAUCGGCCAGACGUCGGUUCGAAUCCGACCCAGCCCA